UACGAAGGGGGCUAGCGUUGCUCGGAAUCACUGGGCGUAAAGGGCGCGUAGGCGGCCAUUCAAGUCGGGGGUGAAAGCCUGUGGCUCAACCACAGAAUUGCCUCGAUACUGUUUGGCUUGAGUUUGGUAGAGGUUGGUGGAACUGCGAGUGUAGAGGUGAAAUUCGUAGAUAUUCGCAAGAACACCAGUGGCGAAGGCGGCCAACUGGACCAACACUGA
rnacentral:rRNA from 1 species